rnacentral:rRNA from 1 species
GGGACACGUGGUAUCCUGUCUGAAUAUGGGGGGACCAUCCUCCAAGGCUAAAUACUCCUGACUGACCGAUAGUGAACCAGUACCGUGAGGGAAAGGCGAAAAGAACCCCGGCGAGGGGAGUGAAAAAGAACCUGAAACCGUGUACGUACAAGCAGUGGGAGCACGCUUAGGCGUGUGACUGCGUACCUUUUGUAUAAUGGGUCAGCGACUUAUAUUCUGUAGCAAGGUUAACCGAAUAGGGGAGCCGAAGGGAAACCGAGUCUUAACUGGGCGUUAAGUUGCAGGGUAUAGACCCGAAACCCGGUGAUCUAGCCAUGGGCAGGUUGAAGGUUGGGUAACACUAACUGGAGGACCGAACCGACUAAUGUUGAAAAAUUAGCGGAUGACUUGUGGCUGGGGGUGAAAGGCCAAUCAAACCGGGAGAUAGCUGGUUCUCCCCGAAAGCUAUUUAGGUAGCGCCUCGUGAAUUCAUCUCCGGGGGUAGAGCACUGUUUCGGCAAGGGGGUCAUCCCGACUUACCAACCCGAUGCAAACUGCGAAUACCGGAGAAUGUUAUCACGGGAGACACACGGCGGGUGCUAACGUCCGUCGUGAAGAGGGAAACAACCCAGACCGCCAGCUAAGGUCCCAAAGUCAUGGUUAAGUGGGAAACGAUGUGGGAAGGCCCAGACAGCCAGGAUGUUGGCUUAGAAGCAGCCAUCAUUUAAAGAAAGCGUAAUAGCUCACUGGUCGAGUCGGCCUGCGCGGAAGAUGUAACGGGGCUAAACCAUGCACCGAAGCUGCGGCAGCGACGCUGAUGCGUUGUUGGGUAGGGGAGCGUUCUGUAAGCCUGCGAAGGUGUGCUGUGAGGCAUGCUGGAGGUAUCAGAAGUGCGAAUGCUGACAUAAGUAACGAUAAAGCGGGUGAAAAGCCCGCUCGCCGGAAGACCAAGGGUUCCUGUCCAACGUUAAUCGGGGCAGGGUGAGUCGACCCCUAAGGCGAGGCCGAAAGGCGUAGUCGAUGGGAAACAGGUUAAUAUUCCUGUACUUGGUGUUACUGCGAAGGGGGGACGGAGAAGGCUAUGUUGGCCGGGCGACGGUUGUCCCGGUUUAAGCGUGUAGGCUGGUUUUCCAGGCAAAUCCGGAAAAUCAAGGCUGAGGCGUGAUGACGAGGCACUACGGUGCUGAAGCAACAAAUGCCCUGCUUCCAGGAAAAGCCUCUAAGCAUCAGGUAACAUCAAAUCGUACCCCAAACCGACACAGGUGGUCAGGUAGAGAAUACCAAGGCGCUUGAGAGAACUCGGGUGAAGGAACUAGGCAAAAUGGUGCCGUAACUUCGGGAGAAGGCACGCUGAUAUGUAGGUGAAGUCCCUUGCGGAUGGAGCUGAAAUCAGUCGAAGAUACCAGCUGGCUGCAACUGUUUAUUAAAAACACAGCACUGUGCAAACACGAAAGUGGACGUAUACGGUGUGACGCCUGCCCGGUGCCGGAAGGUUAAUUGAUGGGGUCAGCGCAAGCGAAGCUCUUGAUCGAAGCCCCGGUAAACGGCGGCCGUAACUAUAACGGUCCUAAGGUAGCGAAAUUCCUUGUCGGGUAAGUUCCGACCUGCACGAAUGGCGUAAUGAUGGCCAGGCUGUCUCCACCCGAGACUCAGUGAAAUUGAACUCGCUGUGAAGAUGCAGUGUACCCGCGGCAAGACGGAAAGACCCCGUGAACCUUUACUAUAGCUUGACACUGAACAUUGAGCCUUGAUGUGUAGGAUAGGUGGGAGGCUUGGAAGUGUGGACGCCAGUCUGCAUGGAGCCGACCUUGAAAUACCACCCUUUAAUGUUUGAUGUUCUAACGUUGACCCGUAAUC